GAUGAACGCUGACAGAAUGCUUAACACAUGCAAGUCAACUUGAACUUCGGUUUGGGUGGCGGACGGGUGAGUAACGCGUAAAGAACUUGCCUCACAGAUAGGGACAACAUUUGGAAACGAAUGCUAAUACCUGAUAUUAUGAUUUUAGGGCAUCCUAGGAUUAUGAAAGCUAUAUGCGCUGUGAGAGAGCUUUGCGUCCCAUUAGCUAGUUGGAGAGGUAACGGCUCACCAAGGCGAUGAUGGGUAGCCGGCCUGAGAGGGUGAUCGGCCACAAGGGGACUGAGACACGGCCCUUACUCCUACGGGAGGCAGCAGUGGGGAAUAUUGGACAAUGGACCAAGAGUCUGAUCCAGCAAGUGUGUGUGCACGAGGAAUUUUUUCGGAAUGUAAAGUGCUUUCAGUUGGGAAGAAAAAAAUGACGGUACCAACAGAAGAAGUGACGGCUAAAUACG
rnacentral:rRNA from 1 species